rnacentral:rRNA from 1 species
AAUAGAUACCCGGGUAGUCCACGCCGUAAACGAUGAGUGCUAAGUGUUAGAGGGUUUCCGCCCUUUAGUGCUGCAGCAAACGCAUUAAGCACUCCGCCUGGGGAGUACGGUCGCAAGACUGAAACUCAAAGGAAUUGACGGGGGCCCGCACAAGCGGUGGAGCAUGUGGUUUAAUUCGAAGCAACGCGAAGAACCUUACCAGGUCUUGACAUCCUCUGACAACCCUAGAGAUAGGGCUUCCCUUCGGGGGCAGAGUGACAGGUGGUGCAUGGUUGUCGUCAGCUCGUGUCGUGAGAUGUUGGGUUAAGUCCCGCAACGAGCGCAACCCUUGAUCUUAGUUGCCAGCAUUCAGUUGGGCACUCUAAGGUGACUGCCGGUGACAAACCGGAGGAAGGUGGGGAUGACGUCAAAUCAUCAUGCCCCUUAUGACCUGGGCUACACACGUGCUACAAUGGGCAGAACAAAGGGCAGCGAAGCCGCGAGGCUAAGCCAAUCCCACAAAUCUGUUCUCAGUUCGGAUCGC